CCUACGGGAGGCAGCAGUAGGGAAUCUUCCACAAUGGACGCAAGUCUGAUGGAGCAACGCCGCGUGAGUGAAGAAGGUCUUCGGAUCGUAAAACUCUGUUGUUAGAGAAGAACACGAGUGAGAGUAACUGUUCAUUCGAUGACGGUAUCUAACCAGCAAGUCACGGCUAACUACGUGCCAGCAGCCGCGGUAAU
rnacentral:rRNA from 2 species